rnacentral:rRNA from 1 species
UUCCUACGGGCGGCAGCAGUGGGGAAUAUUGGACAAUGGGGGAAACCCUGAUCCAGCAAUGCCGCGUGAGUGAAGAAGGCCUUAGGGUUGUAAAGCUCUUUCGGCGGGGAAGAUGGUGACGGUACCCGCAGAAGAAGCCCCGGCUAACUUCGUGCCAGCAGCCGCGGUAAUACGAAGGGGGCUAGCGUUGUUCGGAAUCACUGGGCGUAAAGGGCGCGUAGGCGGCGCGACAAGUCAGGCGUGAAAGCCCCGGGCUCAACCCGGGAAUUGCGCUUGAUACUGUCGUGCUUGAGUCCGGGAGAGGAUGGCGGAAUUCCCAGUGUAGAGGUGAAAUUCGUAGAUAUUGGGAAGAACACCGGUGGCGAAGGCGGCCAUCUGGACCGGUACUGACGCUGAGGCGCGAAAGCGUGGGGAGCAAACAGGAUUAGAUACCCCUGUAGUCCG